GAGUUGUCAUGGUUUUAUAAAGGAAUUGGAGUUGGAUUCACUAUUGGAUUUUGUGGAGUUUGUGCCAAUUUAGUGAUGAUAAAGCAUUUCAUGCAUAGCCUAAGAAAUGUGCUAUCAAAGGCACUGCGCUGAGAAGAAAGCUUACUGCAAUUGACAGAUUCCUCUGGUGAUGAAGAUCAGACUUAGUGGCUGCAAGGAUUCUAAGAGUUCAAAGUUUAAAAGCAACAGAAUUAAUGGGUCAAGCUUGAAGCAUUUGAAUCUCUAUACUGUUUUUAGUAGCUGAUGCUUUUGACUAUUGUUAAGUAAGUUUGUAAACUUUGUUUCUACAAUUACACUUACCAAACAAAGAUUAACUUUCUCUUAA